rnacentral:rRNA from 1 species
GACGAACGCUGGCGGCGUGCCUAAUACAUGCAAGUAGAACGCUGAAGGAGGAGCUUGCUUCUCCGGAUGAGUUGCGAACGGGUGAGUAACGCGUAGGUAACCUGCCUGGUAGCGGGGGAUAACUAUUGGAAACGAUAGCUAAUACCGCAUAAGAGUAGAUGUCGCAUGACAUUUGCUUAAAAGGUGCAACUGCACCACUACCAGAUGGACCUGCGUUGUAUUAGCUAGUUGGUGAGGUAACGGCUCACCAAGGCAACGAUACAUAGCCGACCUGAGAGGGGGAUCGGCCACACUGGGACUGAGACACGGCCCAGACUCCUACGGGAGGCAGCAGUAGGGAAUCUUCGGCAAUGGACGGAAGUCUGACCGAGCAACGCCGCGUGAGUGAAGAAGGUUGUCGGAUCGUAAAGCUCUGUUGUAAGAGAAGAACGAGUGUGAGAGUGGAAAGUUCACACUGUGACGGUAUCUUACCAGAAAGGGACGGCUAACUACGUG